AUGCCGUGCUGGACGCUCUCCCCACAUAUGCCAUGUCUGCGAUGGAGGUCCCGCCCUCUGUCCUCCGGGCGAUCGACGCCCUGCGCUGCUCCUUCCUCUGGACCGCGAUGGACAAAGCCUCUGGGGCCAGUGUCUCGUCGCCUGGGAACGCGUCGUCCGUCCCAAGGAGGAGGGGGGCUGGGGGUUCGCGCCCUCCCGGUCCAGAAUCGGUGCCUACUGCUGAAGCUCCUUCACCGCCUUCACUCGCGCCAGGAUGCGCCGUGGGCUAGAUGGGUCUGGGGUGAGCUGGGACGCUCGCUGCUAACAUCCGCAGCGGUGGUGACGCUCCCCGGACCGCACUGGGCCUCCCUCGCCAAGCUUAUGCCUGUGUACCGGGCGGUCACCGCUGUCACCCUCAGCGACGGCCGCACUACGGCGUUCUGGCUGGACUCCUGGUUGCCCGGUGGCGCCCUAUCCGUCCAGAUGAGCUCCCUCUUCUCUCACACCACCAUGCCGGCGGCCUCGGUUGCUCACGUCGUUCAACACGGGCUUGCUGGGGUGCUCGUCCCCCGCCUGAACCAUGUGGGCGCCAGGGAGUGCGCGAUGCUCCUCCCAAUCAUCCGGGCGCUGGCCCUCACUAUGGAGCCGGAUGUUCGGACCCUUCGCCCUGGCUGUGACAAGGGUUCUGCGCUCUCCUCCGCCGGCCUCUACCAACUCUACCACUUUGGCGGGGUGCUUGCGCCGUACGCCGAUUUUGUCUGGAAGAACUACGCUCCAAGUCGUGUCCGCUUCUUCGCCUGGCUCUUGGUCCAGGCCCGGAUCCAGACAAGGGACGUCCUCCUGCGGAAGCACAUUGUGGAGGCGGCGGGGGCUGGCUGCCCUGUCUGCUCGGCGCCCUUGGAGUCGGCAGACCAUCUCAUCUUCGACUGCCCUUUUGCUCAGCGCUUCUGGUCUAUGGUGGGAGUCGCCUCCGCGGUCUCAUCUGUUGAGCUGCUGCACACUAUAUCCCCCCUGGCUCGGUGCCGGUGCGGACAGGCUCGACCUUCCUCCUUCUCUGCUGCUGGCAACUUUGGAAGCACCGCAACGCGGUGGUCUUCCAGGGGUUGCCCCCGUCACUCCCUCGGCUGCUGCAACUGUGUCGGGAGGACGCCGUACUUUGGCGGGUGCGUCUGCCUGCUGCUCUAA
rnacentral:rRNA from 1 species